UACACUCCUGCGGGAGGCAGCAGUGGGGAAUAUUGGACAAUGGGCGCAAGCCUGAUCCAGCCAUGCCGCGUGAGUGAUGAAGGCCCUAGGGUUGUAAAGCUCUAUCACCGGUGAAGAUAAUGACGGUAACCGGAGAAGAAGCCCCGACUAACUUCGUGCCAGCAGCCGCGGUAAUACGAAGGGGGCUAGCGUUGUUCGGAUUUACUGGGCGUAAAGCGCACGUAGGCGGACUAUUAAGUCAGGGGUGAAAUCCCGGGGCUCAACCCCGGAACUGCCUUUGAUACUGGUAGUCUUGAGUUCGAGAGAGGUGAGUGGAAUUCCGAGUGUAGAGGUGAAAUUCGUAGAUAUUCGGAGGAACACCAGUGGCGAAGGCGGCUCACUGGCUCGAUAUUGACGCUGAGGUGCGAAAGCGUGGGGAGCAAACAGGAUUAGAUACCCCGGUAGUCCCA
rnacentral:rRNA from 1 species